rnacentral:misc_RNA from 1 species
GAUGAAGAACGCAGCGAAAUGCGAUAAGUAAUGUGAAUUGCAGAAUUCAGAGAAUCAUCGAAUCUUUGAACGCACAUUGCGCCCGCCAGUAUUCUGGCGGGCAUGCCUGUUCGAGCGUCAUUUCAACCAUCAAGCCCCCGGCUUGUGUUGGGGACCUGCGGCUGCCGCAGGCCCUGAAAACCAGUGGCGGGCUCGCUAGUCACUCCGAGCGUAGUAAUACAUCUCGCUCAGGGCGUGCUGCGGGUUCCGGCCGUUAAAAAGCCUUAUUUACCCAAGGUUGACCUCGGAUCAGGUAGGAAGACCCGCUGAACUUAAGCAUAUCAAUAAGCGGAGGA